UACACAUGCGUCGGCUUUCAAAGCCGGCCCCGGAGGCGGCCUCACGCCUGCAAUUUGAAGCCGCCUCAAAAUCAUCAAACCCCUGUUACACAUAGUCUCGGGCCCGCAAUUUUGCGUCUACACAUAGGCCGGCCUCACGUCGCCUUUUCACGAGCUGACGUUGGGGCGCACUUCAUGUAAACAAACGCUUAAUAUUUUCGCGCGGUUUGCAGGUCUUUUUAAUUGCAUUGGAUCUCAUCGACAUCGCGACCGAUCCGUACACAUAUCUUACCUCCAUAUUUUGUUUAUAUAAUUGCAUUAUGAAGGUUAAGAAUAUCGUAACUAUUAUUUCUGAUCGAAGGAGGGAAUUUCGACGUGCUCAAAAAAGGCGAUUCCGGGAGUUUGAAGCACGUCGUCGGCGAGUACGAAAUCUGACGAUGGAGGUUCGGAUAAGGAGGAAAACGCAUCAUCACCCGUUGAGGAGGAGCCGUCAUCACCAGUUGAAGAGGAGGAUGGUGCAGAGGCUGACGAUGAUGAAGAUGAUGAAUAGAAUCCGAGUUCCUGAUGUCAAUGGCAUAUCUGGGGGACAAGGGAUUCGUCAUGUGUGCAAGGAGGCCACUUUCAAGAGGGGAGGGGGUGAAGGGAUGAAAACUUGAAAAUAAAAAACACUAUGGCCCGAAUUCACAAAGGUGGUUUUGUGAACCCGCGGUUGAAUCCAUGGUUAAUGCAGAUUUCCUGUAUAAAUUACGCUUAUUUACCGCGUAAAUUAAAAAAUGUCCAAUGCUGAUGUGCGCUUUUGUCACAGUGCGCCAAAUUGACGCCUGUUGCCGUGGUUAAGUACGCUAUCUUAUGAGUCUACUGCUUGAAGAGUGGACUCAUGAAUAAAAUAGCGUAGAUAACCACGGCAACAGGCCUCAAUUUGGCGCACUGUGACAAAAGCGCGCAUCAGCAUUGGACAUUUUUUAAUAUACGCGGUAAAUAAGCAUAAUUUAUACUGGAUAUCUGCAUAAACCAUGGGUUCAACCGAUGGUUUUAAAAACCACCUUUGUGAAUUCGGGCCUAUGAAUUUCAGUCUGAUUAUCAACAAAGGAGCAGUCCCGCCGCAACCACUUCAGCUCCAAAGUUCUAGAACUUUGGAGCUGGAACUGGGCAUGAUUGCAGACCCUUUUCCCAGAUGCGCCAUUGCCUGAUAUCAUGUUUUCUUACACCUAUUCACUUUGGUGCAUGAGCAAAAAACUUGACUGGUUGAGCCGACCAUCAAUCUUUGGUUGGCUCUUUAGUACAAAACAUUGGAUAUUCCAUUGGUCUGCUAUUAAUGGAUGACAGCAUCACAUGGAAUGACAGUCAUUCAUUACAUUACCGUGCCAUGUUGGAUAAUCCUCAGACAAGCUUUCCAUGAUGUAUGCAAAAUUAUGCCAUUGAGUCAGUGUAUAAUUGUGAUAAGCUUAACUCGGUGUCCAAAAUGUAUUUGAGAUAUGUUGUAAGAAAAAUACUUGAAGUGAGUGUAAUUGUCGAUCACUUCAUGGUACAUAACUUUCCACUACAUGUAUUUAUUUGUCAAGGUUUUCUGUCGGUGCUAUGCUGGGCAAUGAUGUUAGCUCACAUAGCUUGUUUGUUUAUAUUGUUUGAAUCACUAUGAAUUCAGACACAAGAACGUGAGAUUUGAUUGGUUUCAUGGAAUGUUAGAUAUAAAAAAUUCAAUAAUGUCGAUUGGAUUGCCUAUAAAUGUACCAUUCAGGCUUUCAUAAAUCAUAGAAAUGUGAUUUCUUGCGAGAUAUACAAUCAUUUUUCCCUGUAUUUAAUUGGUCACAUUAGAAGUUAAUGCCCCUGAUCAUGCUGUUUGUUGGUCCAUGUAUGUUCACCAUUUGAUCUUUACAAAUACUAGAGGAAACAAAAAUUGCUCGAUCAUCCAAACAUUGUGAAUUUUGGUUUAAUGAUCAUUGCCUAAUUGCCUCACAGCCUUCAUUUGAGCCCUGAGUGUUCAUGUUAUCAUGAGAGGAGUAGUUCAUUCCAGGAAGUUUGAAUGUGAGGGUGUAAAAAAACCCUGAUUUGUUGAGUUUUGGACAAACAGAAAGAUGUAACUCACUCUUAAGGGAUUUUGAGAUUUUUGCACAAAAGCAACUUGUUAUAGUACUACAGCAUACCUAUAAAAUUCAUAUUACCUGUAAAAUAAAUAACACUUAAUCACUCCAGCUGGAAAGACCACAGUGUGAAACACAAUAGGAAGUGAUCAUCUCCACACUGUUCAAACUUUGUGUAUAUGAAUCUCAUUCACUGAGUCCAUUAUGUGAACACACUGUAAAUUUCACAGUAUGAAAUUCAAAAAUCAUCUUUACAAAGAGCAUUUUCACAGUGUGAAACUGUGAAUGACUACUUCAUGUAGUUGACUACCGUAUGUGACCACACGAGGAACACACUUUGUUACACUUUGUUGUUUUGGCAUGUACAUUAUCAGUAGCUUGGGAGAAAAUUAUGAAACAUUUCGAUCGCUGAGUUAACGCCUUAAUUCUGUUUGUAAAUCCUGGUUAUAUUAUUGAAGCUCAAUGUAUCAAUGUGUGCAGUGGCACGAAGUGACCGACUGUUGCAAAUAUAGAUUUGUUUUGUACAAAGAAAGUAAAACGAGAA